rnacentral:rRNA from 1 species
UACAGAGGGUGCGAACGUUGCUCGGAAUUACUGGGCGUAAAGCGCGUGUAGGCGGGUCCGCAAGUCAGAUGUGAAAUCCCCGGGCUCAACUCGGGAACUGCAUCUGAAACUGCGAGCCUUGAGUACCGGAGAGGGUGGCGGAAUUCCUGGUGUAGAGGUGAAAUUCGUAGAUAUCAGGAGGAACACCGGUGGCGAAGGCGGCCACCUGGACGGUAACUGACGCUGAGACGCGAAAGCGUGGGGAGCAAACAGG